CCUACGGGUGGCAGCAGUAGGGAAUCUUCCACAAUGGGCGAAAGCCUGAUGGAGCAACGCCGCGUGGGUGAAGAAGGUCUUCGGAUCGUAAAACCCUGUUGUUAGAGAAGAAAGUGCGUGAGAGUAACUGUUCACGUUUCGACGGUAUCUAACCAGACAGCCACGGCUAACUACGUGCCAGCAGCCUCGGUAAUACGUAGGUGGCAAGCGUUAUCCGGAUUUAUUGGGCGUAAAGGCACCGCAGGCGGUCUUUUAAGUCUGAUGUGAAAGCCUUGGGCUUAACCGGAGUAGUGCAUUGGAAACUGGGAGAUUUGAGUGCAGAAGAGGAGAGUGGAACUCCGUGGGUAGCGGUGAAAUGCGUA
rnacentral:rRNA from 1 species